GUGGCCAUUUGUUUUCUAAGCAGACUCGUCUACGCCGUUGGCUCGGGAACCGAAGUCAGGCCGGAGCUGUGGCCACAGCGCGGAGUCGUCCGCAGCCUGGCAUGGACCCCGGCGGCCGUACCCGCGAAACUGACCAGAAAUGGACGAAGCCUGAAUGCGGCGAGAACCGAAGCCGGCGGCUACCGGCCUGAAGGCGCUGGCCUCCGCGAGCGCUGCUCAGCUUCCAGCCUGGAAGAGCCUCCCACUCACUAACAACCCCUCCAACACCGAGGCACAGAGUGGCCUCUGGACAGAGCAGGGCUGCUCAUCCAAGCCAACGCUGGCUUCCGAAUACAUCAUAAUUUGGAAUAAAACGUGAAAUCCCUC